GACUGCAGGCUGCAACUCGCCUGCACGAAGUCGGAAUUGCUAGUAAUCGCAGAUCAGCAUGCUGCGGUGAAUACGUUCCCGGGCCUUGUACACACCGCCCGUCACACCAUGGGAGUCGGUAACACCCGAAGUCGGUAGCCUAACCGUAAGGAGGGCGCCGCCGAAGGUGGGAUUGAUGACUGGGGUGAAGUCGUAACAAGGUAGC
rnacentral:rRNA from 1 species